rnacentral:rRNA from 1 species
AUCGAACGCUGGCGGCAGGCCUAACACAUGCAAGUCGGGCGAGCGGAGGACGGGUGAGCAAUGUAUGGGGACCUGCCUGAUGGAGGGGGAUAACUACUGGAAACGGUAGCUAAUACCGCAUACCAUCAGAUGCACCCAUACGGGAUUAGCUUGUAGGUAAGGAAACGGCUGACCUAGGCGACGAUCCCUAGCUGGUCCGAGAGGAUGAUCGGCCACACUGGGACUGAGACACGGCCCAGACUCCUACGGGAGGCAGCAGUGGGGAAUAGUGCACAAUGGGCGCAAGGCUGAGGGAGCCAUGCCGCGUGUGUGAAGAAGGCCUUCGGGUGGUAAAGUACUUUCAGUCGGGAGGCGUUACCGACAGAAGAAGCACCGGCUAACUACGUGCCAGCCGCCGCGGUAAUUC